rnacentral:rRNA from 1 species
GACGAAGGGGGCUAGCGUUGUUCGGAAUUACUGGGCGUAAAGCGUGCGCAGGCGGCCUUGCAAGACAGAUGUGAAAUCCCCGGGCUUAACCUGGGAACUGCAUUUGUGACUGCAUGGCUCGAGUGUGGCAGAGGGGGAUGGAAUUCCGCGUGUAGCAGUGAAAUGCGUAGAUAUGCGGAGGAACACCGAUGGCGAAGGCAAUCCCCUGGGCCUGCACUGACGCUCAUGCACGAAAGCGUGGGGAGCAAACAGG